rnacentral:tRNA from 1 species
GGCCUCGUAGCUCCAGCUGGUGGAGCAACUCGCGGUACUAAAGCGAGGGUGGUGGACAUGCGUGGGUUCGAAUCCCGCCCAGGCCA